rnacentral:lncRNA from 1 species
CUUGUGGCGGCAGAGAAGGUGCAACGAUGAGAGAUGCGAAUGGCUACAUAAACGGUCUCAUAAAACUCGUGAUGUUCCUUGCAUUGUACUAAGUUACAUACGAGGGAAAAAUGGAUGAUGUCAGCCGAAGAAGUGGCAAUAGCAUCCUUGAAUGACGAUCUCCGCGGAGCACUCUGUAUAGAGUAGUUGUGGUUCUCCGGGGGUGGAUGGUGGAGAUUUCUUCCUUCUUGGUUGAUGAAGUAAUUGUGUCCGUUCCCUGCCCCUCCCCCACAAACCGAACUUUUCCGCCCAAAAUUCUCCGUGGACUCACAACAAGAGAGGCACUUGAUUUGGAAGAGAUGAGGCUCAGUAAGUACGGCCAUCAAGCCAGUUAAGGUAAGGCGGGCCAAGGAACUUCUGACAUGAGUACGUUGUGUUGGCGGGACGGGCAAAUUCCAUCGGCAUCACUACAGAUCUGCCUCAACUCUAAAAACCAAGUCCAAGACUACUCUGUAGUGUGUAGCAUACAGGCACAGAAAAUCAUAAACAACACCCUUUGAUGAUUCGACUAUGUCGGAGUGGUCGGCAACCGAGAAGGGAAAGGGGGCGGGGGCUCGGCUUCUUCCAAAUCGUACAGGACAUGGAACCGCAAAAUUGAUAACUAAAUCUGGAAGCUUGGCCAGCCACAUCAAAACUGAACGAGCAAAUCAGACCAACGAUGCAGAAAGUCGACUUUGAUCACAAAGAUCUAUCUUGAUCAAACUGCGUAGUAUUCUCGAGUUAAUGAACCAAGGUAUACAUGAUCUUCGUGACGGGCACAGCUUGACAGAAGUGGAAUGUCGAGGUUCGCGAUGCAAUCAUUGAAGUCUUGAACAAAUCGACACGGACGUUUUCGAUCUGUAGAAAGAUUCUUGUCGUCAUGAUGCCGCCUCAUGGCAUCAGGAUCGGGAUAUGAACAAUUGCACAGUAGCCGCCGGUAAUGAGAGCAGGAAAUGCGCUGGGAAGAAUAGUAGGCAAGCAGAAGGAAACUUGAAUCAAAGAACAAGUGCCU